rnacentral:rRNA from 1 species
GUGCCAGCAGCCGCGGUAAUUCCAGCUCCAAUAGCGUAUAUUAAACUUGUUGCAGUUAAAAAGCUCGUAGUUGAACUUCGGCCUUGCGCGUCCUGCGGGUCUGCGCGCGGCCUUUGCGUUACUUUGAGAAAAUUAGAGUGUUUCAAGCAGGCUUUCGCCGUGAAUACUUGAGCAUGGAAUAACUGGGCAGGACC